UACGUAGGGGGCGAGCGUUGUCCGGAUUUACUGGGCGUAAAGGGUUAGUAGGCGGUUAUAUAUGUCAGGUGUAAAAGGCUAUGGCUUAACCAUGGUUAGCACUUGAAACUGUAUGACUUGAGUGCAGGAGAGGUAAGUGGAAUUCCUAGUGUAGCGGUGAAAUGCGUAGAUAUUAGGAGGAACACCAGUGGCGAAGGCGACUUACUGGACUGUAACUGACGCUGAGUCACGAAAGCGUGGGGAGCAAACAGGAUUAGAUACCCUGGUAGUCCCU
rnacentral:rRNA from 1 species